GACGAACGCUGGCGGCGGGCUUAACACAUGCAAGUCGAACGGAAAGGCCCUGCUUUUGUGGGGUGCUCGAGUGGCGAACGGGUGAGUAACACGUGAGUAACCUGCCCUUGACUUUGGGAUAACUUCAGGAAACUGGGGCUAAUACCGGAUAGGAGCUCCUGCUGCAUGGUGGGGGUGGGAAAGUUUCGGCGGUUGGGGAUGGACGCGCGGCUUAUCAGCUUGUUGGUGGGGUAGGGGCUUACCAAGGGUGUGACGGGUAGCCGGCCUGAGAGGGUGACCGGCCACAUUGGGACUGAGAUACGGCCCAGACUCCUACGGGAGGCAGCAGUGGGGAAUAUUGCACAAUGGGCGGAAGCCUGAUGAAGCAACGCCGCGUGCGGGAUGACGGCCUUCGGGUUGUAAACCGCUUUCGCCUGUGACGAAGCGUGAGUGACGGUAAUGGGUAAAGAAGCACCGGCUAACUACGUG
rnacentral:rRNA from 1 species